AGACUACGACGUUGAUAGGCUGGGUGUGGAAGUGCAGUAAUGUAUGCAGCUAACCAGUACUAAUUGCCCGUGAGGCUUGAUCCU
rnacentral:ncRNA from 1 species